rnacentral:lncRNA from 1 species
CAUGCAGCCACUUCUGGUGGAGGCGUCAGAGAAAAGCCAAGGGAUCAGCAAGGGCCUGGUCUGUGAUCCAAUGGCCCUGAAAAUGCAGGAAGUGUGGGGUCCUGGUUGGCAGAUGGCCUUUUGCUGCCUGGAGUUACUGCCAACUUGAUGGAGUCUUCUUCCAAAACCAGGAAUCAGACAGGCUACCAGAGCUCAGGAGUGCGUGGUCAGCCAGGAAGGAAGACCGUCUUGGUGAUCAUGGGGAGGAUGGAGCAUGGAGGAGCAUAUGGACAUUAGGAAUGCCCCAUCCUGGAGAGGGGAGCUACACAGAUGUGAGCAGAGACAGAUAAGACAGAUGGAGACCCAGUCAGGGCAAUAGUGUCCCAAGAAUGUCCCAUCCUCCCUGUGCUGCUGUGACUCUGCAGAUGAUCCCUCCUACCAACUGGCUCCUCACAGCUUUUGCAGAAGGAGGCCUUGAGAGAGGCCAAGGGAAGGGGCCACCCACCCAGUUCUGGGCUCCAGCAG